AGUGAACGCUGGCGGUAGGCCUAACACAUGCAAGUCGAACGGCAGCACAGUAAGAGCUUGCUCUUACGGGUGGCGAGUGGCGGACGGGUGAGGAAUACAUCGGAAUCUACUUUUUCGUGGGGGAUAACGUAGGGACACUUACGCUAAUACCGCAUCCGACCUACGGGUGAAAGCAGGGGAUCUUCGGACCUUGCGCGAUUGAAUGAGCCGAUGUCGGAUUAGCUAGUUGGCGGGGUAAAGGCCCACCAAGGCGACGAUCCGUAGCUGGUCUGAGAGGAUGAUCAGCCACACUGGAACUGAGACACGGUCCAGACUCCUACGGGAGGCAGCAGUGGGGAAUAUUGGACAAUGGGCGCAAGCCUGAUCCAGCCAUACCGCGUGUGUGAAGAAGGCCUUCGGGUUGUAAAGCCCUUUUGUUGGGAAAGAAAAGCAGCAGGUUAAUACCCCGCUGUUCUGACGGUACCCAAAGAAUAAGCACCGGCUAACUUCGUG
rnacentral:rRNA from 1 species